AAACAAACUGGGAGUUAAAAAAAGAAGAUAAGAGUCUAAUGUGGUAGCAGCAGUAGUGGAAGGGGCAUGCAGAGGAGAGGAGAGAGAUCCAACACUCCCCCCUCUUUUCCAUUUCCUGUGCUCGCCCCUUCCACCCCUGUUGUUUCCCCUGUUCUUAGAGUGGCUCCUCCUCCGGUAAAACAUUGCACCGCAUUUAUAUCUUUGUAAAAACCACUCCUAACAACAUUUACGUCAAAGAAAAUGGCGGAAUACCGCAUUGGUGUGUAAUUCCAACAAUUACUUUACCAGGACUCAGUUUUUUGGGUCUUACUGUACCAACAGAGGGAAAGGAAUACUCAUCAAAGUUCACGAGCCAUCACUCAUACCUCUUCAAUCAUGAGGAAACAAUAUUAUGUACAAAAAGAUGCUUCAUGCCAAAGGUUUCCCAUGUAGUAAUCAGAGAUGGAAUCAUAUUAUUUGGAAAGAGGAAAACGAAACUGUAUCAUUGGGUCAAACCACAUUAUAAUACCCUAUAGAACAAAGGAAAAAACAAUGGAUAUACAAAGUUUCAGUUAAAAAAAAAAAAAUUGUGAAGUAUUGAAGUUACCUUCAAUUGAA